GUGCCUGUGGGAUGAACAGGUCUCAAUAUUUGCUUCCAUUUUUUUUUUUACUUUGUCAGCUAACAGCCAUACAUUUUUAGCUGAUCAUUAAAAAGGGGAAAUGU